UACGGAGGGUGCGAGCGUUAAUCGGAAUUACUGGGCGUAAAGCGUGCGUAGACGGUUUCGUAAGUCGGGUGUGAAAUUCCCGGGCUCAACCUGGGAAUUGCAUUCGAAACUGCGAGGCUAGGGUACGGAAGAGGGAAGCGGAAUUUCUGGUGUAGCGGUGAAAUGCGUAGAUAUCAGAAGGAACAGCAGUGGCGAAAGCGGCUUCCUGGUCCAAUACUGACGUUCAUGUGCGAAAGCGUGGGGAGCAAACAGG
rnacentral:rRNA from 1 species